rnacentral:rRNA from 1 species
CAUGUGGGAGCAAAUUAAAAAGAUAGUACCACAAGAGGAAGAGACGGCUAACUCUGUGCCAGCAGCCGCGGUAAUACAGAGGUGUCAAGCGUUGUUCGGAAUCACUGGGCGUAAAGCGUGCGUAGGCGGUUUCGUAAGUCGUGUGUGAAAGGCGGGGGCUCAACCCCCGGACUGCACAUGAUACUGCGAGACUAGAGUAAUGGAGGGGGAACCGGAAUUCUCGGUGUAGCAGUGAAAUGCGUAGAUAUAGAGAGGAACACUCGUGGCGAAGGCGGGUUCCUGGACAUUAACUGACGCUGAGGCACGAAGGCCAGGGGAGCGAAAAGGAUCUAUACCCCUGUAGUCCUGGCAGUAAACGGUGCACGCUUGGUGUGCGGGGGAAUUGACCCCCUGCGUGCCGGAGCUAACGCGUUAAGCGUGCCGCCUGGGGAGUACGGUCGCAAGAUUAAAACUCAAAGAAAUUGACGGGGACCCGCACAAGCGGUGGAGUAUGUGGCUUAAUUCGAUGCAACGCGAAGAACCUUACCUGGGCUUGACAUGUAAUGAACAACAUGUGAAAGCAUGCGACUCUUCGGAGGCGUUACACAGGUGCUGCAUGGCCGUCGUCAGCUCGUGUCGUGAGAUGUUUGGUUAAGUCCAGCAACGAGCGCAACCCCUGUUGCCAGUUACCAGCACGUAAAGGUGGGGACUCUGGCGAGACUGCCCAGAUCAACUGGGAGGAAGGUGGGGACGACGUCAGGUCAGUAUGGCCCUUAUGCCCAGGGCUGCACACGUACUACAAUGCCCAGUACAGAGGGGGCCGAAGCCGCGAGGCGGAGGAAAUCCUAAAAACUGGGCCCAGUUUGGACUGUAGGCUGCAACCCGCCUACACGAAGCCGGAAUCGCUAGUAAUGGCGCAUCAGCUACGGCGCCGUGAAUACGUUCCCGGGUCUUGCACA